GACGAACGCUGGCGGCGUGCUUAACACAUGCAAGUCGAGCGGUAAGGCCCUUCGGGGUACACGAGCGGCGAACGGGUGAGUAACACGUGAGCAAUCUGCCCUUCUCUUUGGAAUAACCAUUGGAAACGAUGGCUAAUGCCGAAUAUGAGCCCCUUUCGCAUGUUGGGGGUUGGAAAGCUCCGGCGGAGAUGGAUGAGCUCGCGGCCUAUCAGCUUGUUGGUGAGGUAAUGGCCCACCAAGGCUUCGACGGGUAGGGGACCUGAGAGGGUGGUCCCCCACACUGGCACUGAAACACGGGCCAGACACCUACGGGUGGCAGCAGUAGGGAAUAUUGGGCAAUGGGCGAAAGCCUGACCCAGCAACGCCGCGUGCACGAUGAAGGUCUUCGGAUCGUAAAGUGCUUUUCUGAGAGAUGAGAAAGGACAGUAUCUCAGGAAUAAGUCUCGGCUAACUACGUGCCAGCAGCCGCCGUAAAAC
rnacentral:rRNA from 1 species